GGCUUCAUCAGUGGAAUAUUACUUAUUACAAUAUAUACGUCUAUUAUAUACAAGCUAGUAUAUACUACUAGCUAUACUACCGUUUCGCCAAAACAGGCUUCAUCAGUGUAAAAAGUUAAAAACACAAGGAAGUUAACUCAUGCGAUUUAUAACCUAACCUAUGAAUAAUUAAGAACUAAUUAAGGACUAAAUGAGAAUACUGUAGGGAUGUUUAAAAAUAUGGCCUAUUAUUGCGAAAUAUUUAAAUUGUAUCAUCGUUACGGUUUAAUCGCAUGAGUUAACUUCCUUGUGUUUUUAACUUUUUACACUGAUGAAGCCUGUUUUGGCGAAACGUUUGUAAUAAAACAUUAUUAUUGAUAUGUCUGGAGUUCGCAUUUCCUUCUGUAUACCUGUCUAUAAUAUUUUAAGCGUCGUGUAUCUUUUGGAUCCUCCAGACAAGUGACUUCUACGUUGGCAAGCCAGACCAUAUCCAUACUAUAUAUAUAUAUAUAU
rnacentral:lncRNA from 1 species